rnacentral:rRNA from 1 species
AUAGACGGGGACCCGCACAAGUGGUGGAGCAUGUGGUUUAAUUCGAAGAUACGCGAAGAACCUUACCUAGCCUUGACAUAUUUUAGAACACUUUAGAGAUAGAGUGGUGCCUUCGGGAGCUAAUAUACAGGUGCUGCACGGCUGUCGUCAGCUCGUGUCGUGAGAUGUUGGGUUAAGUCCCGCAACGAGCGCAACCCUCGUCACUAGUUACUAACGGUUCGGCCGAGGACUCUAGUGAGACUGCCUUCGUAAGGAGGAGGAAGGUGAGGACGACGUCAAGUCAUCAUGGCCCUUACGGCUAGGGCAACACACGUGCUACAAUGGCCAGGACAAUGAGACGCGAUACCGCGAGGUGGAGCAAAUCUAUAAACCUGGUCUCAGUUCGGAUUGUAGUCUGCAACUCGACUACAUGAAGCUGGAAUCACUAGUAAUCGUAGAUCAGCNUAUG